rnacentral:rRNA from 1 species
CGACCGGCGCACGGGUGAGUAACACGUAUGGAACCUGCCCUAUGCAGGGGGAUAAGCGGAAGAAAUUCCGUCUAAUACCGCACAACACCUUUAGGAGACAUCUUCUUGGGGUCAAAGGAGGCGACUCCGGCAUAGGAUGGCCAUGCGUCGCAUUAGCUAGUCGGCGGGGUAACGGCCCACCGAGGCGACGAUGCGUAGGGGUUCUGAGAGGAAGGUCCCCCACACUGGUACUGAGACACGGACCAGACUCCUACGGGAGGCAGCAG